rnacentral:rRNA from 1 species
AGAGUUUGAUCAUGGCUCAGAUUGAACGCUGGCGGCAGGCCUAACACAUGCAAGUCGAGCGGAUGAAGUGAGCUUGCUCAUGGAUUCAGCGGCGGACGGGUGAGUAAUGCCUAGGAAUCUGCCUGGUAGUGGGGGACAACGUUCCGAAAGGGGCGCUAAUACCGCAUACGUCCUACGGGAGAAAGUGGGGGAUCUUCGGACCUCACGCUAUCAGAUGAGCCUAGGUCGGAUUAGCUAGUUGGUGGGGUAAUGGCUCACCAAGGCGACGAUCCGUAACUGGUCUGAGAGGAUGAUCAGUCACACUGGAACUGAGACACGGUCCAGACUCCUACGGGAGGCAGCAGUGGGGAAUAUUGGACAAUGGGCGAAAGCCUGAUCCAGCCAUGCCGCGUGUGUGAAGAAGGUCUUCGGAUUGUAAAGCACUUUAAGUUGGGAGGAAGGGCAGUAAGCGAAUACCUUGCUGUUUUGACGUUACCAACAGAAUAAGCACCGGCUAACUCUGUGCCAGCAGCCGCGGUAAUAC